rfam:Pelodiscus sinensis unplaced genomic scaffold scaffold254, whole genome shotgun sequence.
AUCGCUUCUCGGCCUUUUGGCUAAGAUCAAGUGUAGUACCUAUGUAUACUGGCCAAGCUGUGGCAUUUUUUCAGAGCUAUUCAUUUAUU